rnacentral:rRNA from 1 species
GGCUUAUUGACUUCGGUUAAUAAGUUAGUGGCAGACGGGUGAGUAACGCGUGGGAAUGUACCGAUUGGUUCGGAAUAACUACGGGAAACUGUAGCUAAUACUGAAUAAGCCCUGAGGGGGAAAGAUUUAUCGCCAAUUGAGCAGCCCGCGUUAGAUUAGGUAGUUGGUGGGGUAAUGGCCUACCAAGCCUGCGAUCUAUAGCUGGUCUGAGAGGAUGAUCAGCCACACUGGGACUGAGACACGGCCCAGACUCCUACGGGAGGCAGCAGUGGGGAAUAUUGGACAAUGGGGGAAACCCUGAUCCAGCAAUGCCGCGUGAGUGAUGAAGGCCUUCGGGUUGUAAAGCUCUUUUGUCAGGGAAGAUGAUGACGGUACCUGACGAAUAAGCUCCGGCUAACUUCGUGCCAGCAGCCGCGGUAAUACGAAGGGAGCUAGCGUUGUUCGGAAUUACUGGGCGUAAAGGGCGCGUAGGCGGCCUUGUAAGUUAGAUGUGAAAGCCCCGGGCUUAACCUGGGAACUGCAUUUAAGACUGCAAAGCUU